GAUGAACGCUGGCGGCGUGCUUAACACAUGCAAGUCGAACGGAAAGGCUCCUGCUUGCAGGGGUACUCGAGUGGCGAACGGGUGAGUAACACGUGGGUGAUCUGCCCUGCACUUCGGGAUAAGCCUGGGAAACUGGGUCUAAUACCGGAUAGGACGAUGGUUUGGAUGCCAUUGUUGAAAGUUUUUCGGUGUGGGAUGAGCUCGCGGCCUAUCAGCUUGUUGGUGGGGUAAUGGCCUACCAAGGCGUCGACGGGUAGCCGGCCUGAGAGGGUGUACGGCCACAUUGGGACUGAGAUACGGCCCAGACUCCUACGGGAGGCAGCAGGGGGGAAUAUUGCACAAUGGGCGCAAGCCUGAUGCAGCGACGCCGCGUGGGGGAUGACGGCCUUCGGGUUGUAAACUCCUUUCGCUAGGGACGAAGCGUUUUGUGACGGUACCUGGAGAAGAAGCACCGGCUAACUACGUG
rnacentral:rRNA from 1 species